rnacentral:rRNA from 1 species
UGGGGAAUUUUGGACAAUGGGCGAAAGCCUGAUCCAGCAAUGCCGCGUGUGUGAAGAAGGCCUUCGGGUUGUAAAGCACUUUUGUCCGGAAAGAAAUCCUUGGCUCUAAUACAGUCGGGGGAUGACGGUACCGGAAGAAUAAGCACCGGCUAACUACGUGCCAGCAGCCGCGGUAAUACGUAGGGUGCAAGCGUUAAUCGGAAUUACUGGGCGUAAAGCGUGCGCAGGCGGUUUGCUAAGACCGAUGUGAAAUCCCCGGGCUCAACCUGGGAACUGCAUUGGUGACUGGCAGGCUAGAGUAUGGCAGAGGGGGGUUAGAAUUCCACGUGUAGCAGUGAAAUGCGUAGAGAUGUGGAGAAUACCGAUGGCGAAGGCAGCCCCCUGGGCCAAUACUGACGCUCAUGCACGAAAGCGUGGGGAGCAAAACAGGAUUAGAUACCCCUGGUAGUCCACGCCCUAAAACGAUGUCAACUAGUUGUUGGGGAUUCAUUUCCUUAGUAACGUAGCUAACGCGUGAAGUUGACCGCCUGGGGAGUACGGUCGCAAGAUUAAAACUUAAAUGAAUUGACGGGG